AUUGAACGCUGGCGGCAUGCCUUACACAUGCAAGUCGAACGGCAGCACGGGAGCAAUCCUGGUGGCGAGUGGCGAACGGGUGAGUAAUAUAUCGGAACGUGCCCAGUCGUGGGGGAUAACGUAGCGAAAGCUACGCUAAUACCGCAUACGAUCUAUGGAUGAAAGCGGGGGAUCGCAAGACCUCGCGCGAUUGGAGCGGCCGAUAUCAGAUUAGGUAGUUGGUGAGGUAAAGGCUCACCAAGCCGACGAUCUGUAGCUGGUCUGAGAGGACGACCAGCCACACUGGGACUGAGACACGGCCCAGACUCCUACGGGAGGCAGCAGUGAGGAAUAUUGGACAAUGGGCGCAAGCCUGAUCCAGCCAUGCCGCGUGCAGGAUGACGUCCUAUGGAUUGUAAACUGCUUUUGUACAGGAAGAAACACCUCUACGUGUAGAGACUUAGACGGUACUGUAAGAAUAAGG
rnacentral:rRNA from 1 species